rnacentral:rRNA from 1 species
AACGAACGCUGGCGGCAUGCCUAACACAUGCAAGUCGAACGAGACCUUCGGGUCUAGUGGCGCACGGGUGCGUAACGCGUGGGAACCUGCCCUUAGGUUCGGGAUAACUCCCCGAAAGGGGUGCUAAUACCGGAUAAUGUCUUCGGACCAAAGAUCUAUCGCCUUUGGAUGGGCCCGCGUUGGAUUAGCUAGUUGGUAGGGUAAAAGCCUACCAAGGCGACGAUCCAUAGCUGGUCUGAGAGGAUGAUCAGCCACACUGGGACUGAGACACGGCCCAGACUCCUACGGGAGGCAGCAGUGGGGAAUAUUGGACAAUGGGCGAAAGCGUGAUCCAGCAAUGCCGGGUGAGUGAUGAAGGCCUUAGGGUUGUAAAGCUCUUUUACCCGGGAUGAUAAUGACAGUACCGGGAGAAUAAGCUCCGGCUAACUCCGUG